rnacentral:rRNA from 1 species
GACGAACCGUGCGACCGUUAUUCGGAAUCACUGGGCUUAAAGCGCGUGUAGGCGGGGCGGAACGUCGGUCGCUGAAAUCCCCCGGCUCAACCGGGGAAGGGGCGCCGAUACGACCGGCCUGGAGGGACGUAGGGGGAGCUGGAACUUCCGGUGGAGCGGUGAAAUGCGUUGAGAUCGGAAGGAACGCCCGUGGCGAAAGCGAGCUCCUGGACGUUUUCUGACGCUGAGACGCGAAAGCCAGGGGAGCGAACGGG